ACAGAAGCUACUACGAGAUAGUACAAGACUGGCUGCCUAUGAAAUUCUCUAGUCAAUGACAACAGGAAGAUUCGAAUUUCGAGGUUAUCAAUAAUAGAGCUGGCGAAACGUCACAGUUGAAUUCAAAAGCAUUCAAUAUUCCUAUUCCUUGCAGAUUUUGGCUCGACUUUGCUCAUAAUAAUUCUAUAAACUGAAAUGUACAACAUUUUGUACUGUAAUAACAGAAAUCAUGAAAUUUGAGGUUAAGGAAUGUAGGCGGAUUUAGUUGCCUAUCAUCAGAUAACGUGUAGCAAUUUCCUUAGGCAGAGUAGAUUUUGUACAAUGUAAUUUGGGCCGUUUGCACAAUGACAAAGACCAUAUUAGUAUUCAUACCGAAAGAAUUUUGCAAUGAGAAACCAGGAUACACGUUUGGCAGAGUCGUGUAUGAUUCCUGGAAUGAAUCGAAGAAAUUCUUUAUUAUUGGUGUGAGGAAGGUGGAUUCUGGCAACACGGUUAAAUCAAACAGCGAUUUGAUAGGGUACUUCUCCGGCUCUAAGAACACGUAUGGGUAUUUAGAUAAAACAUUAUCGGAUUGGAUAAACGUCUAUUUGUCUCCAAAUUCCAAGUCUAAUUCCGUUAACUGCGAAUAUUGCAUACGUGACGUUCUCAUAGACAAUCGUAAGAUCACACCAACCGCAUAUCACACUGUGAUCAUAAUUUACGAUCAAACUGCAUUGCUACAGGCCGAAUUGUUAGUAAACAAGGCACCAUCUGGUGAUCACUUUCAAGAACUGAAACAAACGCUGCAGAAAAGGUCCAUAAAGGAUGAGAUAAAUAGGAAAUCAAAAUUUAGUCUCAUCGGAGAGAUCCUUCUGACUUAUCAUGCGUUAUUUUUCUUGUACCAAAUGCGAUUCCUCUACAAAAUAGCGAGCAAACUUUUGCCAAUAUUGAAAUACUCCGCACUUGGCCUACACAUGCACAGUUGGCUGGAAAACGGACAAUGGACUUUGACCAUGAUCGUACAGAGAAAGAGAAUCACAUUGAAAACUGCAAACUACAUUUUGGCCACGGCGCUUGACAUCUUACUCGGCGUCUUGCUUUUGCGAUUUUUGUUAGAAAAUAUUGGACAUGUGCCACCCUCUCGAGUACUGCUUAACAAUGCAGAGAGGGUUGUUGAAUCACUCAAAGGGCUGGUAAACUGGUUAAUGGGAGCGCCAGCAGGUUUGAAACUGAACCACUCGUUCAACGGGAUGCUAGGUCGAUUUUUCUUAUACCACAUCAACCUGUGGUGGACAUUUUUGGUGGUUAGUGAACCUUUGCUUGAAUUUGCAUUCAAGGUUCUAAUCCUUUGUGGAAGACUAGGUGUCACUUUCCAAAUAGCUAUAAUAGCUGAUCUCUUGGCUCUUGUCAGCUUCCACAGUUACUGCAUCUACGUUUAUGCAGCAAGACUGUUCAAUAUGCAGCUGAGAGGCCUGAUGGCACUGUUCCAUUUGUUCCUUGGAAAGAAGAAGAAUCCAUUAAGGGAGAGAGUGGAUUCAUGUCAGUAUCAGGCUGAUCAAUUGUUUGUUGGAACAUUGCUGUUCACUAUCCUCCUGUUUCUAAUGCCAACAACAUGGGUUUACUACUCCGUUUUCACUAUUAUCUAUUUUCUUUCCAUAGCUUCGACUCGUCCUAAUAGGCCUAGGUGGAUUUCUCACCAGACUUAAGUUUUACUUACAAGUUCUGCCAGUCUAUGCUUUUGUAAAAUGGCUUAUUCGUUCCCCAGUUAUGAGCAUUCCAGGUACAAUAAACAUGAAGAUAUAUCCCAGAAGUGGAGAAGGUCCUACCACCCUAAUCGUGUCAACAGUUGUAUCUCCAUGGGGUGAAACUUGGAAACGUUGCAUUCUAGAGACGAUAAACCCUCAC
rnacentral:misc_RNA from 1 species